rnacentral:tRNA from 1 species
GGUGGCUCAGUGGUAGAGCACUUGCCUUCCAUGCAUGAGGUCCUGGGUUCGAUUCCUCAGCACCA